GGGUCGAUGGCGUAGUUGGUUAUCGCACCUGUCUCACAUACGAUGAUAUGGUACACAGGAGGUCCUCAGUUCGAGCCUGGGUCGACUCA